GACGAACGCUGGCGGCGUGCCUAAUACAUGCAAGUCGAACGCUUAUUUCCUCCCGAUUGCUUGCACUCAAUUGGAAAGGGGAGUGGCGGACGGACGAGUAACACGUCGGUAACCUACCCAUCAGAAAGGGAAAACAAUUGGAAACAGGACCUAAUAUUGCAUAACAGUUUAUGCCGCAUUGCAUGAGAGUGAAAGGUGCGUUCGGGGGUCGUUGAUGGAUGGAUCCGCGGUGCAUUAGCUAGAUGGUGGGGUAACGGCUCACCAAGGCAGCGAUGCAUGGCCGCCCGGCGAGGGGGAUCGGCCACACGGGAACGGAGAAACGGCCCAGACUCCUCCGGGAGGAAGCAGUAGGGAAGCUUCGGCAAUGGAGGAAGGUCGGACCGAGCAACGCCGCGGGGGUGAAGAAGGUGUUCGGAUCGUAAAACACUUUUUUCAGGGAAGAACAAGGACGGCAUUAACUGAACGUCCCUUGACGGUAGCUAACCAGAAAGCGACGGCUAACUACGUG
rnacentral:rRNA from 1 species